rnacentral:rRNA from 1 species
AUGGCUCAGGACGAACGCUGGCGGCGUGCCUAACACAUGCAAGUCGAGCGAUGAUCGGGGAAUGAGACCUUCGGGUGGAUUUCCCGAGAUUAGCGGCGGAUGGGUGAGUAACGCGUGGGCAAUCUGCCCUCCACAGGGGGAUAACACAGGGAAACUUGUGCUAAUACCGCAUAACAUCUCGGGGAGGCAUCUCUCUGAGAUCAAAGGAGCGAUCCGGUGAAGGAGGAGCCCGCGUCUGAUUAGCUGGUUGGUGAGGUAACGGCCCACCAAGGCGACGAUCAGUAGCCGAACUGAGAGGUUGAUCGGCCACAUUGGGACUGAGACACGGCCCAGACUCCUACGGGAGGCAGCAGUGGGGAAUAUUGCACAAUGGAGGAAACUCUGAUGCAGCAACGCCGCGUGAAGGAUGACGGCCGUUCGGGUUAGUAAACUUCUUUGGCGAGGGGACGAAGACAGUGACGGUACCCUGAGAACAAGCCACGGCUAACUACGUGCCAGCCGCGGC